rnacentral:rRNA from 1 species
GACGAACGCUGGCGGCGUGCUUAACACAUGCAAGUCGAACGGAAAGGCCCUGCUUUUGUGGGGUGCUCGAGUGGCGAACGGGUGAGUAACACGUGAGUAACCUGCCCUUGACUUUGGGAUAACUUCAGGAAACUGGGGCUAAUACCGGAUAGGAGCUCCUGCUGCAUGGUGGGGGUUGGAAAGUUUCGGCGGUUGGGGAUGGACUCGCGGCUUAUCAGCUUGUUGGUGGGGUAGUGGCUUACCAAGGCUUUGACGGGUAGCCGGCCUGAGAGGGUGACCGGCCACAAUAGGACUGAGAUACGGACCAGACUCCUACGGGAGGCAGCAGUGGGGAGUAUUACACAAUGGGCGGAAGCCAGAUGCAGCGACGCCGCGUGCGGGAUGACGGCCUUCGGGUUGUAAACCGCUUUCGCCUGUGACGAAGCGUGAGUGACGGUAAUGAGUAAAGAAGCACCGGCUAACUACGUG